rnacentral:rRNA from 1 species
GACGAACGCUGGCGGCGUGCUUAACACAUGCAAGUCGAGCGGAGCGGCGAACGGGUGAGUAACGCGUGAGUAACUGCCCCCCUCUCUGGGAUAACAGUUGGAAACGGCUGCUAAUACCGGAUAGUGGGGGAUGACUCGCGUCCUAUCAGCUUGUUGGUGGGGUAGUGGCCUACCAAGGCGACGACGGGUAGCCGGCCUGAUAGGGCGACCGGCCACAUUGGGCGGAGAGACAGCCCAAACGCCUCCGGUAGGCAGCAGUGGGGAAUAUUGCACAAUGGUGGAAACCCUGAUGCAGCAACGCGCGUGCGGGAUGACGGCGUUCGGAUUGGAAACCGCUUUCAGCCAUGACGCGUUAGUGGCAGAAGAAGCACCGGCUAACUACGUGCCAGCAGCCGCGGUAAUUC